AGAGUUUGAUCCUGGCUCAGGACGAACGCUGGCGGCGUGCUUAACACAUGCAAGUCGAGCGAUGAAGCUCCUUCGGGAGUGGAUUAGCGGCGGACGGGUGAGUAACACGUGGGUAACCUGCCUCAUAGAGGGGAAUAGCCUUUCGAAAGGAAGAUUAAUACCGCAUAAGAUUGUAGUACCGCAUGGUACAGCAAUUAAAGGAGUAAUCCGCUAUGAGAUGGACCCGCGUCGCAUUAGCUAGUUGGUGAGGUAACGGCUCACCAAGGCGACGAUGCGUAGCCGACCUGAGAGGGUGAUCGGCCACAUUGGGACUGAGACACGGCCCAGACUCCUACGGGAGGCAGCAGUGGGGAAUAUUGCACAAUGGGGGAAACCCUGAUGCAGCAACGCCGCGUGAGUGAUGACGGUCUUCGGAUUGUAAAGCUCUGUCUUUAGGGACGAUAAUGACGGUACCUAAGGAGGAAGCCACGGCUAACUACGUGCCAGCAGCCGCGGUAAUACGUAGGUGGCAAGCGUUGUCCGGAUU
rnacentral:rRNA from 1 species